CACGGUAGCCAAGUGGUAAGGCGUUCCUCUGCAAAAGGAAUAUACAGGGGUUCGAUUCCCCUCCGUG
rnacentral:tRNA from 1 species